GAUUGAAAGCUGGCGUCUUCGGCGUCCGCAUUGUAAUCUCAAGAAGUGUUUUCCGCUUCGGACCAAGCCUAAGUCCCCUGGAAAGGGGCAUCAUAGAGGGUGAUAAUCCCGUACAUGGCUUGGAGCGCCCGAGGCUUUGUGAUACGCUUUCUAAGAGUCGAGUUGUCUGGGAAUGCAGCUCAAAAUGGGUGGUAAAUGCCAUCUAAGGCUAAAUAUUGGGGAGAGACCGAUAGCGAACAAGUACAGUGAUGGAAAGAUGAAAAGAACUUUGAAAAGAGAGUUAAACAGUACGUGAAAUUGCCAAAAGGGAAGGGUAGGAGGUCAGAGAUGCGGCCUGGGAUUCAGCCUUGCUUUUGCUUGGUGUUUUUCCCAGAUUGCAGGCCAACGUCGGUUUUGGGCACUGGAGAAGGGUAGGAGGAACGUGGCACCCCUCGGGGUGUGUUAUAGCCUCCUACUGGAUACAGCGACCGAGACCGAGGACAGCAGCGUACUCGCAAGAGCGGGCCUUCGGGCACCUUUACGCUUAGGGCGUUGGCAUAAUGGCCCUCUACCACCCGUCUUG
rnacentral:rRNA from 1 species